rnacentral:rRNA from 1 species
UACGUAGGCAGCGAGCGUUGUUCGGAGUUACUGGGCGUAAAGGGUGCGUAGGCGGUUGUUUAAGUUUGGUGUGAAAUCUCCCGGCUCAACUGGGAGGGUGCGCCGGAUACUGAGGGGCUAGAGUGUGGGAGAGGAAAGUGGAAUUCCUGGUGUAGCGGUGAAAUGCGUAGAUAUCAGGAGGAACACCGGUGGUGUAAACGGCUUUCUGGACCAUAACUGACACUGAGGCACGAAAGCGUGGGUAGCAAACAGG